UCGGGAAUAUUGCGCAAUGGAGGAAACUCUGACGCAGUGACGCCGCGUAUAGGAAGAAGGUUUUCGGAUUGUAAACUAUUGUCAUUAGGGAAGAGAAAGGACAGUACCUAAGGAGGAAGCUCCGGCUAACUACGUGCCAGCAGCCGCGGUAAUACGUAGGGAGCGAGCGUUAUCCGGAUUUAUUGGGUGUAAAGGGUGCGUAGACGGGUAAUUAAGUUAGUUGUGAAAUCCCUCGGCUCAACUGAGGAACUGCAACUAAAACUGAUUAUCUUGAGUGCAGGAGAGGUAAGUGGAAUUCCUAGUGUAGCGGUGAAAUGCGUAGAUAUUAGGAGGAACACCAGUGGCGAAGGCGACUUACUGGACUGUAACUGACGUUGAGGCACGAAAGUGUGGGGAGCAAACA
rnacentral:rRNA from 1 species